rnacentral:rRNA from 1 species
GUACACUCCUGCGGGAGGCAACAGUGAGGAAUAUUGGACAAUGGGUGGAAGCCUGAUCCAGCCAUCCCGCGUGCAGGAAGACGGCCCUAUGGGUUGUAAACUGCUUUUAUCUGGGGAUAAACCUACUUACGUGUAAGUAGCUGAAGGUACCAGAAGAAUAAGCACCGGCUAACUCCGUGCCAGCAGCCGCGGUAAUACGGAGGGUGCAAGCGUUAUCCGGAUUUAUUGGGUUUAAAGGGUCCGUAGGCGGACUGAUAAGUCAGUGGUGAAAUCCGACAGCUUAACUGUCGAACUGCCAUUGAUACUGUUAGUCUUGAGUAAGGUUGAAGUGGCUGGAAUAAGUAGUGUAGCGGUGAAAUGCAUAGAUAUUACUUAGAACACCAAUUGCGAAGGCAGGUCACUAAGUCUUAACUGACGCUGAUGGACGAAAGCGUGGGGAGCGAACAGGAUUAGAAACCCGAGUAGUCCCAUGAU